AGGGUUUGAUCAUGGCUCAGGACGAACGCUGGCGGUGCGCCUUAUGCAUGCAAGUCGAGCGAAGCUUUUCAGUAGUUUACUACAGAAAAUGACUGAGCGGCGAACGGGUGAGUAACGCGUGAGCAAUCUACCUUAGUUACAGGGAUAGCCCGAGGAAACUCGGAUUAAUACCUGAUAUUCUUUAUUUCUCGCAUGAGAGUAAAAGGAAAGGUCAGCCGAACUAAGAUGAGCUCGCGUUCUAUCAGCUAGUUGGUGAGGUAAAAGCUUACCAAGGCUACGACGGAUAGCUGGUCUGAGAGGACGAUCAGCCACACUGGGACUGAGACACGGCCCAGACUCCUACGGGAGGCUGCAGCAGGGAAUAUUGUGCAAUGAACGAAAGUUUGACACAGCGACACCGCGUGUGGGAUGACGGAUCUAGGUUUGUAAACCACUUUCAGGAGGGAAGAAAAUGACGGUACCUCCACAAGAAGCCCCGGCCAACUACGUGCCAGCAGCCGCGGUAAUU
rnacentral:rRNA from 1 species